rnacentral:misc_RNA from 1 species
GAAGAUCAAAUGGGUUAGUUGAUUUAUGAUUGAUUGUGUAUGGUUGAGGCGCUUCCUCUGAAGCCUUCAAUCCCAAAUACUGGUCAGCAGUUGAUGAAGGCACGUGCACUGCUACUUGUGGUUGACUAACUUGAUUACUGCCCUCUAAAGGAAGGCGAGUAAUAGAAUUGUCAAAAGCAUUCCAUGUCUGAGCACUACCUGUGUUACCAGAAGCUUGAAGAUUGUGCAAAUCAUUGUGCCAGGGACUAGGCACUGAUGAUGACCCUUGGGCAGUAGAGUUCUGAAAUGGUGGCCACUGCAUGCCUGUAUCCAAAGAUGAAACCUGAUCAAGCUUUGCUGAAGAAUCUACAUUUGAAGGUACCAUUAAGGGUGCAAGAUUUCCAGUCCCUAAAGUGGAUGCUAUGGGCUGAGUAUCAAAAGUAGCCCAUCCUUCAUUUUUAGGGACUGAUGACUCUGGUAAAUUUUGGUUCAAGCUAGUAACUGAUUGCUGCUGAACAAUCCCACCAAAGAGAUCAAUAGAUGAGGAAACAGAAGUUUGGGUGGUUUGAUAUGCAUUCAACGAUGAAGCUGGAUCCAAAGGUGCCUGAAACAAAUUGAUAGAUGAUGCUGGUGAUGCUGCUGGCAAUUGAAACAAAUCCAUUGGUGAAGAUCCAGAAGCACUUGAUUCUGGAAAAACAGGUGCCUUAAAAUGAUCCAAGCUACCACAACUCUCAGAAGUUGAUAAUAACUGUGGAAAUGUAGGCAUUCUAUCCUGGCAAUCUCCAUUAGCACACUCAGGCUCUGAGACAGCAUCUGGUAAAU